GACGAACGCUGGCGGCGUGCUUAACACAUGCAAGUCGAACGGAAAGGCCCUGCUUUUGUGGGGUGCUCGAGUGGCGAACGGGUGAGUAACACGUGAGUAACCUGCCCUUGACUUUGGGAUAACUUCAGGAAACUGGGGCUAAUACCGGAUAGGAGCUGCUGCUGCAUGGUGAGGGUUGGAAAGUUUCGGCGGGUGGGGAUGGACUCGCGGCUUAUCAGCUUGUUGGUGGGGUAGUGGCUUACCAAGGCUUUGACGGGUAGCCGGCCUGAGAGGGUGACCGGCCACAUUGCGACUGAGAUACGGCCCAGACUCCUACGGGAGGCAGCAGGGGGGAAUAUGGCACAAUGGGCGGAAGCCUGAUGAAGCAACGCCGCGUGCGGGAUGACGGCCUUCGGGUUGUAAACCGCUUUCGCCUGUGACGAAGCGUGAGUGACGGUAAUGGGUAAAGAAGCACCGGCUAACUACGUG
rnacentral:rRNA from 1 species